rnacentral:rRNA from 1 species
GUGGGGAAUAUUGGACAAUGGGCGCAAGCCUGAUCCAGCCAUGCCGCGUGAGUGAUGAAGGCCUUCGGGUUGUAAAGCUCUUUUGGCGGGGACGAUGAUGACGGUACCCGCAGAAUAAGCCCCGGCAAACUUCGUGCCAGCAGCCGCGGUAAGACGAAGGGGGCAAGCGUUGUUCGGAAUUACUGGGCGUAAAGGGCGCGUAGGCGGCCUUGUAAGUCAGGUGUGAAAGCCCUGGGCUCAACCUGGGAAUGGCACUUGAUACUGCGAGGCUAGAGAGUGGGAGAGGUUGGUGGAAUUCCCAGUGUAGAGGUGAAAUUCGUAGAUAUUGGGAAGAACACCGGUGGCGAAGGCGGCCAACUGGACCAUUUCUGACGCUGAGGCGCGAAAGCGUGGGGAGCAAA